AACGAACGCUGGCGGCGUGCCUAACACAUGCAAGUCGAGCGAGAAAGUCCCCGCAAGGGGAUGAGUAAAGCGGCGAACGGGUGAGUAACACGUGGGCAACCUUCCCUUCAGUUAGGAAUAACCCCGCGAAAGCGGGGCUAAUACCGGAUGACGUCCUUUGGGGGCAUCCUUGGAGGACCAAAGGGGGCGAGCGUAAGCGGCUCCCGCUGAAGGAUGGGCCUGCGGCUGAUUAGCUAGUUGGUGGGGUAGCGGCCUACCAAGGCGACGAUCAGUAGCCGACCUGAGAGGGUGACCGGCCACACUGGGACUGAGACACGGCCCAGACUCCUACGGGAGGCAGCAGUGGGGAAUAUUGCGCAAUGGGCGAAAGCCUGACGCAGCGACGCCGCGUGGGUGAUGAAGGCCUUCGGGUCGUAAAACCCUGUCGGGUGGAACGAAUCUCCGCCUCGCUAAUACCGAGGUGGCUUGACGGUACCACCGAAGGAAGCCCCGGCUAACUACGUGCCAGCAGCCGCGGUAAUACGUAGGGGGCGAGCGUUGUUCGGAUUUACUGGGCGUAAAGAGCGCGUAGGCGGUUCGAUUAGUCGGAGGUGAAAUCCCUCGGCUUAACCGAGGACCCGCGUCCGAUACUGUCGAACUUGAGUGCAGGAGAGGAGAGCGGAAUUCCCAGUGUAGCGGUGAAAUGCGUAGAUAUUGGGAGAAGCACCGGUGGCGAAGGCGGCUCUCUGGACUGUCACUGACGCUGAGGCGCGAAAGCUAGGGGAGCAAACGGGAUUAGAUACCCCGGUAGUCCUAGCCGUAAACGAUGGGCACUAGGUGUGGGAGGUAUCGACCCCUUCCGUGCCGCAGCUAACGCAUUAAGUGCCCCGCCUGG
rnacentral:rRNA from 1 species